UUAUAAAAAUUUAAAAUUAAUUACUUAAAAAUUAAUAGUUAAGUUCUUUAAAUUUAAAAAAUUUGGCGGUAUUUUAGUCUUAUUAGAGGAACCUGUGUUUUUAUUGAUAAUCCACGAUUAAUUUUACUUAUUUUAAAAAUUCAUAUAUCGCUGUCAUGAAUAUAUUGAAAAAUUGAUUUUCUUUAGUUAUUUUCUUAAUUUAUGUUAAGUCAAGAUGUGGUUUAUAGAUAAGUUAAUUAUGGGUUACAAUAAAUUAUAUUUUUGGAUUAAAAAUGAAAAUAAUUGAUGAAAUUGGAUUUAAUAGUAAUUUUAAUUAUUUAAUUAAUAUGAAUAGAGAUCUAAAAUAUGUACAUAUUGCCCGUCAUUCUUAUUAAAAAUAAGACAAGUCGUAACAAAGUAAGUGUACUGGAAAGUGUACUUAGAAAAA
rnacentral:rRNA from 1 species